GGAGGCGAGCCGAAUUGGUUAGGGAGCGGAUUUGAAAUCCGUCGCCGGUUACGCCGGUUGCAGGUUCGAGUCCUGUCGCCUCCGCUA
rnacentral:tRNA from 1 species